CUCACGGCAGCUCCGGAUCCUUAACCCACUGAGCACGGUCAGGGAUUGAACCCACAGCCUCAGUGUUUCUAGUUGGAUUCGUUUCCACUGCGCCAUAACGGGAACUCCGUGGUGUCCAAAUUCUAAGACAUACUGUGAUGUCAGAUAAGUUAUUAUCUGGCUUAAAAUAUUGCUUGUUUGUUUUUGUUUUUGUUUUUUGGUCUUUUUUAGGCCCGCACCCACAGCAUAUGGAUCAAAUCGGAGCUGUAGCCGCUGGUCUCCACCACAGGCAUAAUUAAGUUGUUUUUCUGUAGCUUUUUAGCAUAUGUCAUAUUCAAAUGCCGUCUCAUGGUGAAGUGCUUAUUUUUGGCAUAACAAUUUUCUUUAGUCCUCAUCUCUUUGCUGCUGUGCACACUACUUCACACCAAAAAUAUCUUAACCAGUAGACUCACUUCUAGUUUUUUAGUUUCUUUUGGGGGCACUUAUAACUCUUAGAAAGAUUAUUUCAUGAGUUUUACUCUUUUGUAGAGGUCUUCCAAAGAACAGAGAGAAGACAUUUACUUACAUAUUUUUUAAACUUUGCAAUUACCAUAUGGGUCCAUUGGACCAUUUUAUAAAUCUAAGAUGCAUUUGUGGAUAUUAGUGUCUGUAUCUUGAAGCAUUUUGCUGUUUCAUCAUUACUCAUUAUUUAUUCUCAAGUAUAGGAAAGAAAAGGCUGAAAUAAUAAGAAAAAGGAUGAAUGAUGGAAUUAAUUAAAGCAGAGGCUCACAAACAUUUUUGUAAAGCUUAAAAUGAUCAAAGAAGAUGGCCAUUCUUUCUUCAACAUUAAAAGUUUCAAAAUUUCAAGGUUUCAAGUAUUGCACUUUGACAAUGCAGUUGCCAGAAGAAGGACCAGGAGUAACGAUAAGCUAGAACCUAUUAGAGAUGUGUUUAAAAUCAGGAGUCCACAUUUAUUCAUGACACUUGAUGAACAGUUGUAUUUAGAGGACAUGACCCAUUUUGCCUAUUUUUUAUUUAAAAACCAGGCAAAUGUGGGAAAUCUGAAAUGGAUAUUUGAGCGUACUGUAUUUUAGUAUUUAUUAAAAAUUCUAAUAAAGUUGUUUUUUUAACUA